rnacentral:rRNA from 1 species
UACGUAGGGGGGCGAGCGUUGUCCGGAAUUAUUGGGCGUAAAGAGCGUGUAGGCGGUUCGGUAAGUCUGCCGUGAAAACCUGGGGCUCAACCCCGGGCGUGCGGUGGAUACUGCCGGGCUAGAGGGUGGUAGAGGCGAGUGGAAUUCCCGGUGUAGCGGUGAAAUUCGUAGAUAUCGAGAGGAACACCGGUGGCGAAGGCGGCCUUCUGGACAGUGACUGACGCUGAGACGCGAAAGCGUGGGGAGCAAACAGG